CAAGAAUCCUAGUUGGCCUGGCUAUUGCUUCUGCAGGUGUAGGAGCCCAGCUUCCUUGGCAGCCAUGGCUACUAAUGGCCCAGAGAAGAAAGGUGUUAGCACUAAAACCCUUGGCACCAUCAGAAUGCUCAACACCACCUUUGUUGAUUUUGUCAGUGGAAGAGGAAUUACCAUCUGCUUUGCUGUAGCACUAUAAGGUCCACUGGACUUUUACAUCUGACCUGCAGCUGAAGUCUUCCAUAUGUGUUGUCUCCCCAGCCAGAACUCCUUGAGGGCAGGGACUGUCGGGACUUUUCUGUAUGUCAUCCCCAGCUAUUAGCAUAUGGUAUUGUGCACAUAGGUUCUCCUUGUACAAUCACCUCUAAUCAAGACACCCAUUUUACUUUGAAGAAUGGUUGGAAUCGGAUGUUCCAGACCUAUGACAAGGACCAGUGACAACAGAUCUGUUAUUUUAUUCAGUGGACCCGAUGGUUUUGCUCCUGGCCAUCAUGACUUUUUUUUUAAGCCCAGAAGACUUUUAUAAACUGCUCCUGACUUUACUCCUCAACUGUCUUUUUUAAAAAGACUUUUGUGUAUUGUUCUAUGUUCUUAAAUCUGUGUUAAAUUCCUCCUGCUUAUGCUAGGGUUGAUUUAGGAUUAUUUUAGGGACUUUAAUACCAAGGGGUAGGAUAUAAUGGGAUCAACUUGUAUUUUAUACAGGUUGGGACAGACUUUUAAGAAGGCAGGAAGACCAUUUUGCUUUCUUGUAGCAUAAAAGACCAGCCCAAGCAGGCUUAAGGUUAAAACCUUCACCUUACCAUUCAUCUCCUUUCCGUUGUCAUUCUGUCAAAAUUAAUGCUUCAGUGUAAAACUAAAAAAUAGUAUUGUGAUGUUAAGGUUGAUCUUGAUCACAAUUAAAAGUUGU